rnacentral:rRNA from 1 species
UACAGAGGUCUCAAGCGUUGUUCGGAUUCAUUGGGCGUAAAGGGCGCGUAGGCGGUCUCCCAAGUCCGGGGUGAAAUCUUUCGGCCUAACCGGAAAAGGGCCUUGGAUACUGGGGGACUCGAGGGGGGUAGGGGCAAGCGGAACUUCCGGUGGAGCGGUGAAAUGCGCAGAUAUCAGGAGGAACACCGGUGGCGAAGGCGGUUCUCUGGGAAUGUCCUGACGCUGAGGAGCGAAAGUGUGGGGAGCGAACAGG